GAAACCAACAGGGAUUGCCCUAGUAACGGCGAGUGAAGCGGCAACAGCUCAAAUUUGAAAUCUGGCACCUGUGCCCGAGUUGUAAUUUGUAGAGGAUGCUUUUGGCGACGCGCCUUCCGAGUUCCCUGGAACGGGACGCCAUAGAGGGUGAGAGCCCCGUCCGGUCGUGCGCCUAGCCUCUGUAAAGCUCCUUCGACGAGUCGAGUAGUUUGGGAAUGCUGCUCUAAAUGGGAGGUAUACGUCUUCUAAAGCUAAAUACCGGCCAGAGACCGAUAGCGCACAAGUAGAGUGAUCGAAAGAUGAAAAGCACUUUGAAAAGAGGGUUAAAUAGUACGUGAAAUUGCUGAAAGGGAAGCGCUUAUGACCAGACUUGGGCGCGGCGGAUCAUCCGGCGUUCUCGCCGGUGCACUCCACCGCCCCAGGCCAGCAUCAGUUCGCGCCGGGGGACAAAGGCUUCGGGAAUGUGGCUCCCUCGGGAGUGUUAUAGCCCGUUGCGUAAUACCCUGGUGCGGACUGAGGUCCGCGCU
rnacentral:rRNA from 1 species